rnacentral:lncRNA from 1 species
AUGGGAGCUGACAUCUGCCACAACAAGGACCGAAAGGUUCGGCGCAAGGAGCCCAAGAGCCAGGAUAUCUACCUGAGGCUGUUGGUCAAGCUGUGCAGUUUUCUGGCCAGACGAACCGACUCCACAUUCAACCAGGUUGUGCUGAAGAGGUUGUUUAUGAGUCGUACCAACCGGCCACCUCUGUCCCUUUCCCAGAUGAUCCAGAAGAGUGAAGCUUCCUGUCCGGGAAAACAAAACGGCCGUGAUUGUGGGGAGCAUAACAGAUGACGUGCGGGUUCAGGAGGUGCCCAAACUGAAGGUGUGUGUGCUGAGUGUGACCAACCUGGCCCGCAGCCGCGUCCUCAGGGCAGGGGGCAAGAUCCUCACUUUUCGACCAGCUGGCCGUGGACUCCCGCAAGGGCUGCAGCACCGUCCUGCUCUCCGGUCCUCUCAAGGGCCGAAAGGUGUACGGGCAUUUUGGCAAGGCCCCGGGAACCCCGCACAGCCACACCAAACCCUACGUCCACUCCAAGGGCCGGAAGUUCGAGCGCGCCAGAGGCUGACGGGCCAGCUGAGGCUACAAAAACUAA